CCUGUUGCUGCACUGCGCCUCUCCCCCCACCGGGUCUCCUCAGCUCAACCUCUCUCGCCGCCUCGCCCUCCCUCCGUCCGCGACUCCACCCGAUGCCGCCGCCGCUCGAGGCGCGCGACUACAUCGGCCUCGGCGCCGCCGCGUCCUCCUCCUCGUCGUCCUGCUGCUCCGGCGGCAGCGAGGGGGCGGCGGGGCCGCACCUCGCGCUACGGCUCGGGCUGCCGGGGUCCGAGUCCCCCGGCCGCGGCGCGGGGGCGGAGCACGUCGACGCCGCGCUCACGCUCGGCCCCGCGCCUCCCAGGGGUGGCGCCAAGCGCGGGUUCGCUGACUCCCUCGACCGGCCCGCGA
rnacentral:lncRNA from 1 species